rnacentral:rRNA from 1 species
AACGAACGCUGGCGGCAUGCCUAACACAUGCAAGUCGAACGAAGUCUUCGGACUUAGUGGCGCACGGGUGCGUAACGCGUGGGAAUCUGCCCUUGGGUGCGGAAUAACUUCUCGAAAGGGAUGCUAAUACCGCAUAAUGUCGUAAGACCAAAGAUUUAUCGCCCAAGGAUGAGCCCGCGUAAGAUUAGCUAGUUGGUGGGGUAAAAGCCUACCAAGGCGACGAUCUUUAGCUGGUCUGAGAGGAUGAUCAGCCACACUGGGACUGAGACACGGCCCAGACUCCUACGGGAGGCAGCAGUGGGGAAUAUUGGACAAUGGGCGAAAGCCUGAUCCAGCAAUGCCGCGUGAGUGAUGAAGGCCCUAGGGUUGUAAAGCUCUUUUACCAGGGAUGAUAAUGACAGUACCUGGAGAAUAAGCUCCGGCUAACUCCGUGCCAGCAGCCGCGGUAAAGUGACUACUG